rnacentral:rRNA from 1 species
UAGGGAAUCUUCCACAAUGGGCGAAAGCCUGAUGGAGCAACGCCGCGUGUGUGAUGAAGGCUUUAGGGUCGUAAAGCACUGUUGUAUGGGAAGAAAUGCUAGAAUAGGGAAUGAUUCUAGUUCGACGGUACCAUACCAGAAAGGGACGGCUAAAUACGUGCCAGCAGCCGCGGUAAUACGUAUGUCCCGAGCGUUAUCCGGAUUUAUUGGGCGUAAAGCGAGCGCAGACGGUUGAUUAAGUCUGAUGUGAAAGCCCGGAGCUCAACUCCGGAAUGGCAUUGGAAACUGGUUAACUUGAGUGUUGUAGAGGUAAGUGGAACUCCAUGUGUAGCGGUGGAAUGCGUAGAUAUAUGGAAGAACACCAGUGGCGAAGGCGGCUUACUGGACAACAACUGACGUUGAGGCUCGAAAGUGUGGGUAGCAAACAGGANUAGAUACCCUGGUAGUCCACACCGUNNCGACGAANACUAGGUGUUAGGAGGUUUCCGCCUCUUANUGCCGAAGCUAACGCAUUAANUACCCCGCCUGGGGAGUACNACCGCANNGNUG